rnacentral:rRNA from 1 species
AUGCAUGUCUAAGUAUAAGCAAUUAUACGGCGAAACUGCGAAUGGCUCAUUAAAUCAGUUAUCGUUUAUUUGAUAGUACUUUAUUACUUGGAUAACCGUGGUAAUUCUAGAGCUAAUACAUGCUAAAAAUCCCGACUCACGAAGGGAUGUAUUUAUUAGAUUAAAAACCAAUGCCCCUCGGGGCUUAUAGGUGAUUCAUAAUAACUUCUCGAAUCGCAUGGCCUUGCGCCGGCGAUGGUUCAUUCAAAUUUCUGCCCUAUCAACUUUCGAUGGCAGGGUCUUGGCCUGCCAUGGUUUCAACGGGUAACGGAGGGUUAGGGCUCGACCCCGGAGAAGGAGCCUGAGAAACGGCUACUACAUCCAAGGAAGGCAGCAGGCGCGCAAAUUACCCAAUCCCGACACGGGGAGGUAGUGACAAUAAAUACUGAUACAGGGCUCUUUUGGGUCUUGUAAUUGGAAUGAGUACAAUUUAAAUCCCUUAACGAGGAACAAUUGGAGGGCAAGUCUGGUGAGCCGCGGUAAUUCCAGCUCCAAUAGCGUAUAUUAAAGUUGUUGCAGUUAAAAAGCUCGUAGUUGAACCUUGGGCCUGGCUGGCCGGUCCGCCUCACCGCGUGCACUGGUUCGGCCGGGCCUUUCCCUCUGGGGAGCCCCAUGCCCUUCACUGGGUGUGGUGGGGAACCAGAACUUUUACUGUGAAAAAAUUAGAGUGUUCAAAGCAGGCCUAUGCUCGAAUACAUCAGCAUGGAAUAAUAGAAUAGGACGUGUGGUUCUAUUUUGUUGGUUUCUAGGACCGCCGUAAUGAUUAAUAGGGACAGUCGGGGGCAUCAGUAUUCAAUUGUCAGAGGUGAAAUUCUUGGAUUUAUUGAAGACUAACUACUGCGAAAGCAUUUGCCAAGGAUGUUUUCAUUAAUCAGGAACGAAAGUUAGGGGAUCGAAGACGAUCAGAUACCGUCGUAGUCUUAACCAUAAACUAUGCCGACUAGGGAUCGGACGAUGUUAUUUUUUGACUCGUUCGGCACCUUACGAGAAAUCAAAGUCUUUGGGUU